GGUCGGCAGGGAGCCGUGUCAGGGAAAGCAGGGCGUGAACAUGGCCUAGAGACGGCGGGGGAGCAUCCCCCGAAACCAUUCGGCGCGUAGCGAGGGGCGAGCCCGAGAAUUUCGGCUCUUCCGGGGCCGCGGCGGCAGCGCUGCGCCCGCACCCGGCGCUCCUUCCCUCUGUGCUCGCCGUGAGGCGCUUCCCUCGCCCGUAAGAGGAGCUCAGCCGAGCGUUCAGCCGUAGUUCCCGUUCCCUUCGCCCUAUGCAGGAGCCCAGCGUGUGUGACUGAGAAAUGGGGAGUCACCGGAACGCGGGUGUGUGGCACAAGGAGCCAGGGUCCGGGCAAGACAUGUGCGAAUGUGGGCGCCCACGGGAGGGAUCUGUGUGCGCGGCUCAUUGCCUGAUAACCUGCGACUCUUUUUUUCCUGAUAUUUAGAAGAAAUUAUUGAAAACCACGUAGAUCAAUGGUCGCCUAAAGCAUUUUCUAGCUGUACUAUAACACAUUAUAAACUUGCUGUUGCAAUACUCCGUAGUCUGAGGAAAGUCUCGCUACUGACCAAAUGAAGAACAGAAAAUCCCGUCUUCCCCGACGAGCCUACGGUACUUGCAGUCCAUGGGACAGGCAGCAGCAGAUGGCUGGGGGCAGAUGAAUGAGUCCCUAGUAGGAGACAGUAAGAUAGUAUCGGACGGCAUAAUAGGCAGUGGGCUCUGUCCACCGGCGGAGGAGUGAGUCACUGAGCCAGUGAGUCAUUGCCAAGGCAGCUGGACGUGAAUCAUUCCCUAGGUGGCUGGAUGCCGCUGUAUGCUCCCAUGGCACAGCCUUAAUAGCUGGCAGAGAACCGUGUUCUCCAGUGCUGGGGCUUCACUGGUUUUUAUUAACUUUGUGUGUGUUACCAAGCCAAACAGUCAGAGUGGUUCAGAGUUUCUGCAUACCAGAACAGAGCUUUGGAGCAGUCAGAAACAGAAUGCAAGCCUGUAUGGUGCUGAAGCUGCUCCCCAUUUUCAUUGCUAUAACCAGCUGCAGAGCACAGAGCUCACAGAGUUAGUGUGAAGCUGAGUUGCUCUUACCCAAUAUUCUUGAAUUGGGGUAAGCUUGGUGUCAACAAAUAAUCACGUCUAGAAAGAAAGAUGAGAAAGCAUGAUUUUUUUUUGUAUUGAAAGGACAAUGAUGAAUUCUGUUUUCUUAGCCAGUCUCUUUAUACUUUCCCAGUAGCACAGAGGGCCUGUAGAGUUCUUGAAAUUUCUCCCCAAGGAAAUACUUCUUGUGUAGAGGUUUCCUCACUUUGAAGGGCUAUUUUGAGCAGCUGGAAUCAUCCGUAGGGGGCUGUGGCAGCAACGUAGUGUAGAGCAGCCAACUUACAUGAGAGGCAUUGCCAAGAAAAGUUGAGAUUCAAGUACGGAAUUAAAGCUGCCUUUACCAGCCCUCCACCCACCGGGCAGUAAUGGGUCGUGCUCACUCUUUGUGGAGGAGAACAUUCCUUGUUAAUAUUUGUGUGAAAGUGAUAUUAAUGCUAAUUCUAUGCAUCUCUGCUAUGUCACCACGAAAAGCAAAAACUAGUGUGCUGUGAGGAGGAAACACUGCCUUAGUGUCUUCCCCAAUUGUUUCAAAAGGAAUGGGAAAGCAAGUUGCUGCAGAGCCAGUGUAGGAAUAGAGAAUGCAUGACUUUCAAGGCAUUUUUUCACUUCUGUUAGAAACAAAAGCACUCAUCUCUACUGUUGCCAACCUGGCCCUGCUCCUCCAUUUCCAUUUUGAUUUACUUGCUCUGCUUCUUGGGUUUCUGCUUACAGAAAGGACAGCAACCGCAGCCAGAUUCACAGGUCAGAGAGUCAAAGGUCUCAGAACAGAAUUUCUCAGCAAAUCUGGGCUGUUCUGAUACAUGGUAGAAAUUGCAAACUGUCAUAGCAAAAAGCAGAAAUAAUCUUUCAGUAAUGGGAGCUAUUUUUAGCUCAAAAUAGUGAUUUCAGCACCUAAUGCUGUUAUUCCCCACUGAAUAAAUUGAUUUAUUACCUAUAACCA
ensembl:lncRNA